AACCAAGAAAUUCAUUAAAAAUAUAUAAAAAAAUAAAACCGUACUAAAACUGAUACAAGUGGAUAGGUAGAAUAUACUAAGGUGUUUGGAAUAACUAUGUUGAAGGAACUCGGCAAAUUAGCUUUGUAACUUCGGAAGAAGAAGUGUCUUUUUUAUAAAAAAGAUAACAUUAAAGAAGGGGGAACGACUGUUUAACAAAAACACAGGACUCUGCAAAAUUGAAAGAUGACGUAUAGGGUCUGACACCUGCCCGGUGCUAAUUAGUUAAAAGGAUAUGUAUAAGCAUUGAAUAAAAGCGUUAGUAAACGGCGGCCGUAACUCUGACGGUCCAAAGGUAGCGAAAUUCCUUGUCGGGUAAGUUCCGACCUGCACGAAUGGUGUAACCAUGGCCACGCUGUCUCUACCCGAGACUCAGUGAAAUUGAAAUCGCAGUGAAGAUGCUGUGUACCCGCACCUAGACGGAAAGACCCCGUGAACCUUUACUACAGCUUGGCACUGAACAUUGAACCUACUUGUGUAGGAUAGGUGGGAGGCUUCGAAGCAGAGACGCUAGUUUCUGUGGAGCCGUCCUUGAAAUACCACCCUGGUAUGUUUGAUGUUCUAACGUAGGUCCCUAAUCGGGAUUGCGGACAGUGUCUGGUGGGUAGUUUGACUGGGGCGGUCUCCUCCCAAAGAGUAACGGAGGAGCACGAAGGUUAGCUA
rnacentral:rRNA from 1 species